rnacentral:rRNA from 1 species
GGUUAAGUUAGAAAGGGCGCACGGUGGAUGCCUUGACACUAGGAGUCGAUGAAGGACGGGACUAACGCCGAUAUGCUUCGGGGAGCUGUAAGUAAGCUUUGAUCCGAAGAUUUCCGAAUGGGGAAACCCACUAUACGUAAUGGUAUGGUAUCCUUACCUGAAUACAUAGGGUAUGGAAGACAGACCCAGGGAACUGAAACAUCUAAGUACCUGGAGGAAGAGAAAGCAAAUGCGAUUUCCUGAGUAGCGGCGAGCGAAACGGAAUCUAGCCCAAACCAAGAGGCUUGCCUCUUGGGGUUGUAGGACAUUCUAUACGGAGUUACAAAGGAACGAGGUAGACGAAGCGACCUGGAAAGGUCCGUCACAGAGGGUAAUAACCCCGUAGUCGAAACUUCGUUCUCUCUUGAAUGUAUCCUGAGUACGGCGGAACACGUGAAAUUCCGUCGGAAUCUGGGAGGACCAUCUCCCAAGGCUAAAUACUCCCUAGUGAUCGAUAGUGAACCAGUACCGUGAGGGAAAGGUGAAAAGCACCCCGGAAGGGGAGUGAAAGAGAUCCUGAAACCGUGUGCCUACAAAUAGUCAGAGCCCGUUAAUGGGUGAUGGCGUGCCUUUUGUAGAAUGAACCGGCGAGUUACGAUCCCGUGCGAGGUUAAGCUGAAGAGGCGGAGCCGCAGCGAAAGCGAGUCUGAAUAGGGCGUUUAGUACGUGGUCGUAGACCCGAAACCAGGUGAUCUACCCAUGUCCAGGGUGAAGUUCAGGUAACACUGAAUGGAGGCCCGAACCCACGCACGUUGAAAAGUGCGGGGAUGAGGUGUGGGUAGCGGAGAAAUUCCAAUCGAACCUGGAGAUAGCUGGUUCUCCCCGAAAUAGCUUUAGGGCUAGCCUUAAGUGUAAGAGUCUUGGAGGUAGAGCACUGAUUGAACUAGGGGUCCUCAUCGGAUUACCGAAUUCAGUCAAACUCCGAAUGCCAAUGACUUAUCCUUAGGAGUCAGACUGCGAGUGAUAAGAUCCGUAGUCAAGAGGGAAACAGCCCAGAUCGCCAGCUAAGGUCCCAAAGUGUGUAUUAAGUGGAAAAGGAUGUGGAGUUGCUUAGACAACUAGGAUGUUGGCUCAGAAGCAGCCACCAUUUAAAGAGUGCGUAAUAGCUCACUAGUCGAGUGACUCUGCGCCGAAAAUGUACCGGGGCUAAAUACACCACCGAAGCUGCGAAUUGAUACCAAUGGUAUCAGUGGUAGGGGAGCGUUCUAAGUGCAGUGAAGUCAGACCGGAAGGACUGGUGGAGCGCUUAGAAGUGAGAAUGCCGGUAUGAGUAGCGAAAGACGGGUGAGAAUCCCGUCCACCGAAUGCCUAAGGUUUCCUGAGGAAGGCUCGUCCGCUCAGGGUUAGUCAGGACCUAAGCCGAGGCCGACAGGCGUAGGCGAUGGACAACAGGUUGAUAUUCCUGUACCACCUCUUUAUCGUUUGAGCAAUGGAGGGACGCAGAAGGAUAGAAGAAGCGUGCGAUUGGUUGUGCACGUCCAAGCAGUUAGGCUGAUAAGUAGGCAAAUCCGCUUAUCGUGAAGGCUGAGCUGUGAUGGGGAAGCUCCUUAUGGAGCGAAGUCUUUGAUUCCCCGCUGCCAAGAAAAGCUUCUAGCGAGAUAAAAGGUGCCUGUACCGCAAACCGACACAGGUAGGCGAGGAGAGAAUCCUAAGGUGUGCGAGAGAACUCUGGUUAAGGAACUCGGCAAAAUGACCCCGUAACUUCGGGAGAAGGGGUGCUUUCUUAACGGAAAGCCGCAGUGAAUAGGCCCAAGCGACUGUUUAGCAAAAACACAGGUCUCUGCGAAGCCGUAAGGCGAAGUAUAGGGGCUGACACCUGCCCGGUGCUGGAAGGUUAAGGAGAGGGGUUAGCGUAAGCGAAGCUCUGAACUGAAGCCCCAGUAAACGGCGGCCGUAACUAUAACGGUCCUAAGGUAGCGAAAUUCCUUGUCGGGUAAGUUCCGACCCGCACGAAAGGUGUAACGAUUUGGGCACUGUCUCAACCAGAGACUCGGUGAAAUUAUAGUACCUGUGAAGAUGCAGGUUACCCGCGACAGGACGGAAAGACCCCGUGGAGCUUUACUGUAGCCUGAUAUUGAAUUUUGGUACAGUUUGUACAGGAUAGGCGGGAGCCAUUGAAACCGGAGCGCUAGCUUCGGUGGAGGCGCUGGUGGGAUACCGCCCUGACUGUAUUGAAAUUCUAACCUACGGGUCU